UCCAGGAAUAGAAAGCUGAACACGCCGUAAGUAGGGCGGCAGGAAGUGAGACGGUAUAAAUACGGACACCGUGGGCUCAUCACGUCAGACGUCAGAUCACGGAGAAGAUUGAAUCAAACAACCUAACAUCUCUUCAGAUUCGGGAAACAUGAUUGGUCCACAGAGCACGGAUGUAGCCCGGCGUUUGCUGCAGCAGAACCUGCGCGUCCUGCGGGGCGUGUCCCGGGACCUGGAGCAGCGGGAGAAGCGCCUGGUGAGGAUGAGAACGAGGCUGCACGGGCUGGAGAGCUCAGGAACCCUGCUGAAUUUGAGACAGCGAUCUGCCACGAGACAGCAAUAAGCUCCGAGAAAAAAAUCCGCUUCCAAUUCAAAUGACGAGAGGAUGGUGAUAAUGACGCAAGGAGGCCCUUACUUGGCUGGAUUCAUAUCUAUUUGAAACUUUUAUCGAUAGACGGAAAUCUAGUUAACAUAAGAAUGUUAAGUCCUCAACUAUUGGAAAAGAUAAGUUGACGGUAAUUUUGAAUCAUUACUGUAACUUGCUUGGACUGCCCAGACUGAAGCACCGUAUGGUUAAGCGUGUAAAUAUCACCAUUGCCUGUCUAAAUAUGAGAGUCGAUGUCUACCUGUAAUCUGAGACUUGUACACGUAGAUCACAUUUCUGAGUCAGACUGCGUGCCUAUAAAGCUCACCCACCAUGCCAGAUUAUCCAUCACUGUCGUCUGCUGCGGCAGACGCACUUUGUCACCUACUGUACUGUACUGUAAUACCAGCUCUAUGCCGACAGCUGUGCGUCACUAUACCUACAUAAAUGCCGACAACACGCGAAGGGCGACUGGUGAAAUGUAUAUGGGUGGGAGUGUCAGGUAAAGUUACGAGGUUUAUUUUGCUUGUUUAUAUUGCCGGAUACACAUGUACGGAUAUCCCACCCAUCUGCUGUCAUUGGUCUAAGUAUUUUGUAAAAUGUGUAGGAAUAAAUAAUGAAAUCUUUUUCAAAAA